UACACCCGAUCCCAUCCCGAACUCGGCCGUGAAAACCCCCAGCGCCAAUGGUACUGCGUCUUAAGACGUGGGAGAGUAGGUCGCCGCCAGGU
rnacentral:rRNA from 1 species